GAAACAUCUCCCAGUUUGUUCAGUCAAACAACUAACAAUCAACCGACCAAAAUGUCCAAGAUGAUCCUGUCCAUCACUUUCUUCCUGCUCUUGUGUCUGUGCAGCAACUCCGCAGCAGACAGCCGCGUUGCUGAAGAAAAGACGCAAUGCUGCACAAGGGUCUCAUUGAAAGAUAUCUCCAAACGCGUAGUAGGGGCCAUU